GAUGAACGCUGGCGGCGUGCCUAAUACAUGCAAGUCGAACGCUGGAGAUCUAGCUUGCUAGAUCGAAGGAGUGGCGAACGGGUGAGUAAUACAUAAGCAACCUACCCACGAAGACUGGGAUAAUCUCUGGAAACGGGGACUAAUACCGGAUAGGUAAUCGGAAGGCAUCUUCUGGUUAUUAAAGGUUAAAAACACUGGUGGAUGGUCUUAUGGCGCAUUAGUUAGUUGGUGAGGUAACGGCCCACCAAGACGAUGAUGCGUAGCCGGCCUGAGAGGGUGAACGGCCACAUUGGGACUGAGACACGGCCCAGACUCCUACGGGAGGCAGCAGUAGGGAAUUUUCGGCAAUGGGGGCAACCCUGACCGAGCAACGCCGCGUGAGUGAAGACGGCCUUCGGGUUGUAAAGCUCUGUUGUAAGGGAAGAACGGUAGAUAGAGAAUAUCUAAGUGACGGUACCUUACCAGAAAGCCACGGCUAACUACGUG
rnacentral:rRNA from 1 species